UACGUAGGGUGCAAGCGUUGUCCGGAAUUAUUGGGCGUAAAGAGCUCGUAGGCGGUCUGUCGCGUCUGGUGUGAAAACUCAGGGCUUAACCCUGAGCUUGCAUCGGGUACGGGCAGACUAGAGUGCGGUAGGGGAGACUGGAAUCCUGGUGUAGCGGUGAAAUGCGCAGAUAUCAGGAGGAACACCGGUGGCGAAGGCGGGUCUCUGGACAGUUCCUGACGCUGAGGCACGAAGGUCAGGGGAGCAAACGGG
rnacentral:rRNA from 1 species